GAAACGAAACAUUACACGCGAAUUUUCGCCCGCAACGCUAAAUGCUCUCUCUCUCUCUUCGCAUUGGGAUUGGGGUUCAAACAACCCCGAAAUUUCAGUCUCUUCUGACCUCUCGUUCUCUCUCUCUCUCUCUUUGAAGAGCAGAGCUCUCUCUGCUAUACUCUGAAGCACUGUCUCUCGCUCAAAAUCGAACUAAGAGCACCAAGAAAAAGGAAGGGUUAACCAGAGCACGUAUAGAGCUCUCUCGCCAUACUCGAACGCGGAUUCAUUCUCUUAGACAAAUAAAUGGAUGACUUGGACACAACUCAGUCAUUUUUUCUAAAUAUCGAUGAUGGUGGCACCACUACUUUUCCAGAAGAGCAUGGUGCCGAUUCUAUGGUACAAGACAUUGGUAACUUGGAUGGGGGUCAAGAUUUAUUGUCAGUAGAUGAAGGCGCAGCACUCUCAAGAGGCGUGGAUUUUGAGCUUAAAAUUGGCAUGUCAUUCGAUAAUGAAGAUGACUCCAAAGCCCUAUUACUUAAAUUUCAUCAAGCUUGUGGGGUUUGGCACAAGAAUGAGAAGUACAUUUCGGAAAGACAGUGAAAGAGCUGGACGAGUGAUUGAGUGUUCACGACAAAGAUUCCGUCAUCAUACAUAUGAGGGCAGCAAGAACCGUCGUCCCCAGACAAGGUGUGGGUGUUCGGCAAAAAUGUGACUUUUGAAAGACGAGAAGCAAAGAUGGAUAGUUAUUUAGUUUGUGAAAGAGCAUACCCAUGCUCUCACAUCACCAUUUAAAACUAGGUUCAUGCGCUCCCAUCGGAAGAUUCCCAACUCCGUGAAAAAAGUUAUCGACACCAUGGGGUCUUCAUUGGUUAAGUCAAGAGUUAUGAUGGAUUACCUUAAUGAGGAGGUCGGAGGAGUGGAAAAUGUGCCCUUCAUUGCCAAAGACCUUGAAAACCACCUACAUAUGGAAAGGAGGAAACUGAAAGAAAGUGACAUACAUAUGGUUAUGAAAUAUUUUCAAUGAAAUAUUUGCAUUGAAAGCAAGAUUUGAAUCCUACCGUUUUUUUAGAGCGUGGCUCGAUGAAUUAGGAAGUCUCAUUGGCGUUGUUUGCGUAGAAUCUAGUGCGAUAAUGUCAUAUCAAUUCUUUUAUGACAUGGUAAUUAUUUAUACUCGAAAAUGAGGGCUAUGGACUUCACCCCCCUUUUGGUUUCGGGUGCAAACUAAUCGAAGAGUAGGAGGAGAAUGGGUCCUGUCAAAUUACGUUUCAAGGGAGAGUCGAGUCCUAGGACCUUAUCCCUCUCGGACCGCCGGCAAAGCCGGCUUCCCUCCUAUUUCAACCUUGGAACUCAACGAGGAGAUUUUCAAAAGGGUUUGAAGAUAAAAAGGAGAUUUCAGAAAAAUAGAUUUAGAAAAGGGAGAAGAGAGGAUAACCACAAAUAAACUAGUAAGCUAGGGAAAUAAAGAUAAACAUGGGUGAAGAUUCUAACUAUAAAAUGCAAAGAGAAUAGGAAGAUAAAGAGCAUGGAAACAAUGAGAUCUAAACUACUAUCUAAUCUAAACAUGCAAUAACUACGCAAAAGCAAUAAGACUAAGGAGAUAAGAAAACAAGUAUAAAGAGAAUAGGGGAGAGAAAGCUAUAUUAAAGAGAAAGAAGGGAGGGAAGAACAAAACAUUAUAGAGAGGAGAAAAGGAGAAUAACACAUCAAGCAAGAGGAAGAUGGAGUGAAGGCUAGAUAAUAAGGAGAGAGAAAAAUAAUACAAAAUAAAAAUAAAUACAAGAAAAAAUGGGGAGAGGAAUAUGCUAACUAUUGAACAAAAUAUAAAGGGAAUAAAUGAAACGAACAUAAGAGAAAUAAGGGGAAAAGAGAGAUAGAAAGGGAUGGGAUCUAAACUACAAGAUAAGAGGAGAAAAAGAGAGAAGCGCAUACCAUUAACUAAGGAAAACAAAAACAAUAAAUAAAAGGAAAUAAAUGCUUAAUGGUGGAGGUGAGAGACAGGGAGAGAUUUACAGUAUAAAAGGAAAAUACAAUAAACUAAGAGAAAUAAAUGUUACAGAAGAAAAGGAAAACAACUAUUUAACAAAGAGGAGAGAGAGCAAGAGAGAGAGAGAGAGAGAGAGAGAGAGAGAGAGAGAGAUCUAUGCUAUAAGAUAGAACAAAAGGGGCAAAGGGAAUAAAUAUUAACUGAAAGAAAAGAGUGAAGAGAAAGCUAAAUGCAAACCAAAAGAGCAAUAAAUACAAUAUAAGCAGAAAAAGAGGGAGGAAGAGAUUAAGUCAUAAAUGAAGAGGAAAGGGAGGAAAUCAUAAAUAUGAAUAAAAGGGAAAUAAAUACCAGAAAUAACUAGAAAUGAAAAGAAAAUGAUGUGUUAGGCUCGUCCCUCAACCUCGAUGCCUAGAGUCAGUGUCGAUUCAUAUCAAAUAGUUGCAUAGUCAAUCUUUAAUUUUUGGUUUUGAACAGGGCAAAUAGAAAUGGGAGGAAGAAGGCCCGGAAAGUCAGAUUAUUUGGACCGUCUUCGGUUUGAUAGGGGAGCUUGAAGGGGUUGAAGGCCUAGUUUUGGAUUGAGGGGUUCUUGGUGGAAUUGGAUUUGCUCAAAUAGGCUCACCUUGGGGUUUUCUCAUAACCUCAAGCUUGAGCUCAAGAUCAAGGAGUUUUGAACAUAGCUUAGGCUAAAAAAAUCUUAAGAAUUCGGGCAUAGCUUAGGCAAAAAAAUUAUCAAGAUCCGGACCUUAAGUCUGAAGCAAAAGGAGAUAUUUAUAGGCAAAACGGACCUUGCACAGCCUGUAGGUCGGUUUUAUGUGAAUUUCGGACCAUUAGAGUUCUUGAGACAUUUGGAGUGGCGGUGGCGGCGGCGGCACUUGGAUCAGCACCACAUCAUUAAUGCAGUAAUAAAGAUGGUCAACAAAUAUUAAUUGCUCAUUAAUGCGGUUGAUUCAGCCCUGUCAGUAUCUGACGUCAUUGGCAAUGGCGCCAGUGGCCUUCCGAUUUCCUUCAGGUUUUGUCUUGAACACGUACCACAUUCUGGUGGGUUCUGAUCUGGUUUUGAUCUAUCAAUCAUGGCUUGAAGUUAUUCUGAAUGGUGUCGAUGACAUUUGUAGUGUUGCCAAACGCAAGCUGACACUCUGCCCUAGUUGUACUGUCUUUUAAUCUUUGGCCAAUCACAUUUCGACAACCACGGUCUGUACUGACAUCUAAUGUGUCAGUACGACCCUGCCAUGUCGGCUUCGUACGGUUUGACAUGUCAGUAUGUCAUCUCAGUCUCAUCAGCCAGGCUGUUUCCCUCUUGUUGGAGGUCUCCCGGCCAGACGACAUUUGAACUGGAGCUGGUGACAUUGGCAAUGUCACCAGACUUCUGGUUGUUUUCGAGCUUAUGGGGGGCCCUCGAGUUUGGCGCCUUUUGAAGUGGCGCUGUCGCCACUGGGAAUGGUGCUAGGUUUCUAUCUUUCCUGGCCACCCGUUUUGUGAUAAAGGUGCCUUCGGUGUCGUGCCUUCGGGUUUUUGGUGGGGCUUUGGCGGCCGUUGGGGCAACGUUAGAGCCUUCUUUUCUGAAAAUGCUUCAAAGUCAGGUAGUUUUGAAUCUGUCUUGCCUUGUCUCGCCACUUGUCUCGCCUCGUGGUACCUUUGGUCGGGCAAUGUCGGGCCAGUGAAGGCUAUGUUUGCAUAAAGGGUUUUGGUGGGGUGAAUAGUCUAAAAUAUCCGGAUGGUUUGCCUGGGACAUUUCAACCUAUCCAUAAUUUUUCCAGUCGAGAUCGAGGUGUGUAUAGUAACAUUUGAUACUACGUACCAAACAACUGCACUUAGCAUACCUUUUUGGCCAAUCCUUGGAGUCAACCAUCAUAGUAAUACUGUUUUCUUUGGAUGUGCCCUUAUUAUUGAUGAGACAAUUGAGUCAUUUAUUUGGUUAUUUGAAAGUUGGUUGGAGGCAAUGGGAGGAAAACAACCAGGUACAAUUAUAACAUAUCAAGAUUUGACUAUAACUGCCGCAGUUAAGAAGGUCUUCCCUGAGAGUAAUCAUUAGUUUUGUAAGUGGUACAUAAUGGGAAAGUUUAAAACAAAGUUGGGUCAUGUUAUGCGCGCACAUUCACACUUUUUAGGCGAAUUGAAGAAGUGUUUUUGUGCAUCCACAAUGGAGAUGUUUGAGUCCAAAUGAAAAUAAAUGAUUGAGAGAUAUGCUCUUGAAGAAAAAUUUGGCUACAGUGGUUAUAUGGUUGUCGCAAUCAAUGGGUGGAUAGGUAUAUUGGUGAUAGGUUCACUACAGGGAAGACUACUACACAACGCAGUGAGAGGUUCAAUUGUGAGAUCAAAGCUUAUGUGCCUUCGGGUACUAGUCUUCAUAAAUUUUUGAAUGCCAUUUAGAAGUUGCAAGACAAGUUUUUCAAAGAAAAAGAGAGACUCUAGAAACCUAACAUCCACUCCUACUUUGAAGACACCCUUUAAAAUAGAGGGCGAUGCAUCAAGGGUCUACACUCAGAAGGUUUUUGGAAAAUUUCAAAAGGAACUAGUUGAGUCUGCAGAUUGUAGGAUCAAAAUAAUUGAGGACAAUGGGAUCUCUGUCAAAUAUGAUAUAGAGGACUCUCAAGGGUCGUCCAUUCAUCACCUUGUUACAUUCAAUAGGUCAGAGAGCAAAGCCACAUGCACAUGUCACAUGUAUGAGCGUGUUGGCAUCCCUUGUUCACAUAUGCUUCGAGCUUUCAGUGUGAAGAAUGUGGUGGAGAUCCCAUUGGAUUACAUAUUGAGGCAUUCGAAAAUGGAUGCGAAGAAAGUUAUGAAUUUGUAUGGACAAUUGAAGAGUCUGCAAUAGAAAAUGGUGAGGUAUUUGAGAAACUAAAGUCAAGUUGGUUGUCAAUAGCCAAUGAAUGCAAUGCCACACCUUGCAUUAGUCAGUCAUAUAUUGGUAGUCAGUCAGAUGAUGAGCCCCCACUUGACUCUAGUCAGUCAGAUGACCCCUCUUGUCACUGUACAUAAUCCACCACAUGUUCAAGCAAAGGGUUGGCCAAGAACCCCAAGGAUGAAGACGGCUAGUGAGAAAAAGGUUCCAGGUACAAGGAAGUGUGUGGUUUGCAGUCAAGGUGGUCAUGACAAGCGUAAUUGCGUGGUAAUGAAAUUGAGCUUGACUGGUGGGAAUGUUCCAGGUGGUGUGAUGGGUUCCCAACAUAGCGAGGCCGUAGACGGAUGUGGCGUGAGAAGGUCCAAAAGGAAGGUCCUCAAGGGCUAAAGAUUUUGGAUCAAUUGCUUGUUGCAAAUUUUAAUUGCAUCCCCUCUUUUCUUAUUUUAUGUAGAGCAUUUAUAGGGUUGUGGGUUCUCGUACAGGGCACCCAUUUAUAGGGUUGGCUAUUUUUUGUAGAGCAUUGUUUGGGCCUUCUUUUGGCCUUUUGUGAGAUCACAUGUUUUGAUCAAGUUUUAGUCAUUAGUUGUGAAUGAUUGCUUGUAUUGGGACUGAGUUCAAAAUCCUUGCAAUGGUGGUAACAUUUAGCAGACUUGCAAUGUAUAUUUUCUGCAUAGAAUCACUUAAAUAUUUCUUUUUACAUAUUUUCUGUAUAUUGUCCAUGAUGUGGCAUUUUUCAAAAAAACCAUUUUCCUUCUAUUGUGUAUAAUAGAAGACCAAAACCCAAACGAUGCGAAUAUAUCAUACAAGACCGUAAGGACAAAAAACAAAUUAACAGUUUGAAUUCUCAAAGAGCUUCUACUGAAAUUUAAAAAUUCUACACGAAUCUUCUCUUACAUGACAAAUGAAUUUCAUAAAUCACACCAACAAGGGGCUGCAAUGGAUCAAAAGGUACUGAGGAAGCUUUGCUUUCUUUUCUCUUAGGUCGCCGCUUGUUUGAUUUGUUCUUGGCCGGAAUCAUCUGCUUUACUUGCACUCUUUCCCACUCGUUCCUUUUUCUCACCUUCAGUUUUGGAUUUGAACGGGAAGGAUCAAGAAUGGAUAGAUGUGUUGAUCUUUUUCUUGUUUUGUGUUGUUUGUCGGUUGCUCGAGUCACAGGAGGCCACCAUGCCAUUGCUAGCACAAGCAUUAGUAUCGGGAGUAUUAUCCCUCAGUAUAAUGGAAGUCAAAUUGAGGAAGGCGAUUGACUUCUACCCUCCACAGUCUCAGCCCCUUCAACAGUUCAUCCUUUGAGUAGAUCUUCUCAGCAGGAAAUCCCUUAACAAGGCAAGUUCCUCUUCACCCAUACCCCUUCUUACCUCUUCAAGCUGCUCUACUACCAAGCAAAGGAAUCAAAUCAGAAUGUCGGCAAAGCUGCUCCACCUCCAAGCAAAGGAAGCAAAUCAGAAUGUCAGCUGCUUAGCUCGUACCAACGCAGUCAGCAGAUGACGGCAAUUGCAAGCUCGCCGGUCAAAAGCAUAGUCUCGAUACAUAAUUUUUUUGGGAUAUUGUCGAAUAUUGUAUUUUUUUUCUUCCUUUCUUUUACUAUGUACCUCAACUUUGAGCAUAUUCAAUGGUUGGGGUCCUUUUAACU